rnacentral:rRNA from 1 species
UACGGGGGGGGCAAGCGUUGUUCGGAAUUACUGGGCGUAAAGGGCUCGUAGGCGGCCAACUAAGUCGGAUGUGAAAUCCCCAAGCUUAACUUGGGAACUGCAUCCGAUACUGGAUGGCUUGAAUCCGGGAGAGGGAUGCAGAAUUCCAGGUGUAGCGGUGAAAUGCGUAGAUAUCGGAAGGAACAUCAGUGGCGAAAGCGGCUUCCUGGACCAGUACCGACGUUCAGGCACGAAAGCGUGGGGAGCAAACAGG